UAAGGCAUAGCUCAGUUGGUAGAGCACUUGCUUAGCAUGCAGGAAACCCUGGGUUUGCUUCCUAGCCCUUCAU
rnacentral:tRNA from 1 species